rnacentral:rRNA from 1 species
CAAGUCGAACGGAAAGGCCCUGCUUGCAGGGUACUCGAGUGGCGAACGGGUGAGUAACACGUGGGUGAUCUGCCCUGCACUUCGGGAUAAGCUUGGGAAACUGGGUCUAAUACCGGAUAGGAACCAUCUUUAGUGUGGUGGUUGGAAAGUUUUUUCGGUGUAGGAUGAGCUCGCGGCCUAUCAGCUUGUUGGUGGGGUAAUGGCCUACCAAGGCGGCGACGGGUAGCCGGCCUGAGAGGGUGUACGGCCACAUUGGGACUGAGAUACGGCCCAGACUCCUACGGGAGGCAGCAGUGGGGAAUAUUGCACAAUGGGCGCAAGCCUGAUGCAGCGACGCCGCGUGGGGGAUGAAGGCCUUCGGGUUGUAAACUCCUUUCGCUAGGGACGAAGCUUUUUGUGACGGUACCUAGAUAAGAAGCACCGGCUAACUACGUGCCAGCAGCCGCGGUAAUACGUAGGGUGCGAGCGUUGUCCGGAAUUACUGGGCGUAAAGGGCUCGUAGGUGGUUUGUCGCGUCGUCUGUGAAAUUCUGGGGCUUAACUCCGGGCGUGCAGGCGAUACGGGCAUAACUUGAGUGCUGUAGGGGUAACUGGAAUUCCUGGUGUAGCGGUGAAAUGCGCAGAUAUCAGGAGGACACCGAUGGCGAAGGCAGGUUACUGGGCAGUUA